GAGUUGCGAACGGGUGAGUAACGCGUAGGUAACCUGCCUGGUAGCGGGGGAUAACUAUUGGAAACGAUAGCUAAUACCGCAUAAGAACAUUUACUGCAUGGUAGAUGUUUAAAAGGUGCAAGAGCAUCACUACCAGAUGGACCUGCGUUGUAUUAGCUAGUUGGUGAGGUAACGGCUCACCAAGGCAACGAUACAUAGCCGACCUGAGAGGGUGAUCGGCCACACUGGGACUGAGACACGGCCCAGACUCCUACGGGAGGCAGCAGUAGGGAAUCUUCGGCAAUGGGGGGAACCCUGACCGAGCAACGCCGCGUGAGUGAAGAAGGUUUUCGGAUCGUAAAGCUCUGUUGUUAAGGAAGAACGUGUGUGAGAGUGGAAAGUUCACACAGUGACGGUACUUAACCAGAAAGGGACGGCUAACUACGUGCCAGCAGCCGCGGUAAUACGUAGGUCCCGAGCGUUGUCCGGAUUUAUUGGGCGUAAAGCGAGCGCAGGCGGUUAGAUAAGUCUGAAGUGAAAGGCAGUGGCUCAACCAUUGUAGGCUUUGGAAACUGUUUAACUUGAGUGCAGAAGGGGAGAGUGGAAUUCCAUGUGUAGCGGUGAAAUGCGUAGAUAUAUGGAGGAACACCGGUGGCGAAAGCGGCUCUCUGGUCUGUAACUGACGCUGAGGCUCGAAAGCGUGGGGAGCGAACAGGAUUAGAUACCCUGGUAGUCCACGCCGUAAACGAUGAGUGCUAGGUGUUAGGUCCUUUCCGGGACUUAGUGCCGCAGCUAACGCAUUAAGCACUCCGCCUGGGGAGUACGACCGCAAGGUUGAAACUCAAAGGAAUUGACGGGGGCCCGCACAAGCGGUGGAGCAUGUGGUUUAAUUCGAAGCAACGCGAAGAACCUUACCAGGUCUUGACAUCCCGAUGCCCGCUCUAGAGAUAGAGCUUUACUUCGGUACAUCGGUGACAGGUGGUGCAUGGUUGUCGUCAGCUCGUGUCGUGAGAUGUUGGGUUAAGUCCCGCAACGAGCGCAACCCUUAUUGUUAGUUGCCAUCAUUCAGUUGGGCACUCUAGCGAGACUGCCGGUAAUAAACCGGAGGAAGGUGGGGAUGACGUCAAAUCAUCAUGCCCCUUAUGACCUGGGCUACACACGUGCUACAAUGGCUGGUACAACGAGUCGCAAGCCGGUGACGGCAAGCUAAUCUCUGAAAGCCAGUCUCAGUUCGGAUUGUAGGCUGCAACUCGCCUACAUGAAGUCGGAAUC
rnacentral:rRNA from 1 species